CACGCGCCCAAUGAGGCCCCGCAGCACGACGCCGCCGACGCCACCGUCGGCCGCUCCCCGCCGCCCCGCCCCGCCCUCGCCGCCGCAGCCAAUCGCCGCCCCGCUCUCCUUCCGCGGCCAAUAGGAAUUCGACGUCCCGUCGGGGCCGGCCAGCGAAUCAGGAGGCCGGGAGCGGGGCGGUUGCUAGGCGGGCGGGGGCAGGCCCGGAGGCCGUCGCUAGGGGGCGGUUGCUAGGGGAGCCCGCGGCCUACUCGGGGCCGGGCCGGGCCCUGCCCGGGCACCGGGCCGGGGCCGAACGGGGCCGAGCCGGGCCGAGCCCCUCGCCCCGGGGCUGUUUGCCCCUUGCCGUGCUCGCCUGGGUGCCAGUGGGUGUGUCAGCGGGCACCGGGCGUUAACACACACGCCCCAGGCGUGCUGCCCCUCACACGGGAGCCUUGCCAGGCGGGCAGGGACGGGGAGAAGUGUCCCCGUGGCCAGCACACGUCCACAGCCCUCCAUAACCCAUCGCUGCCCUGGGGAGGGCCGGCGGCUGGCCGUGCGGCCCCAGCAGCAAAGGUGUUUAGGUGUAGACAAGGCCCGAACGCUUGGCAGCCGGCCUGGGGCUGCUGGCUCCCGUGGCUGGAAGUGGCUGGGAUUUUCACAGGUCACGGCGUGCUAAAUGCCUCUUAAAUGUCUUGUGCUAAAUGGCUCUUAAAUGUCUGCAGUAGGCAGCCUCGAAAACACAUUUCCUUUGGUGUCACGCUACAGAACCCUGAAAGCUCUGUGUGCUGCUGCUUCUCUGGCCAUCUCAGACACCAAAUUAUUACAGUCCAGAACCUUGAGGUGAUUAAAACCACAGCAGGCACAGCACUUGGCGGCAUGCAGGUGCAACUGUAAGACCUUGCCCUUUACAGAGCUGCUUAUCUGACUGUGCAUUGGGGCUACCUCAGAAAAUGAAGGCAUGGAAGGUAUUUGCUGGGAAAAAGCACAACACAACGCUACAGCACUACCUACCCAGCUGCACUGCUCAGUGUGAAUGUGAUCAGUCUGAAAGAGAGGUUCCAAAAGAAAGAGGCCAAAUUCCUCCUUUGUGCAUCACCUUGGGACCACUCACUCAAGGUUUGGCGCACGGUAGCGCUGUGAAUUCAGGCUGCUGUCAGAGGGAGGGAGUGACCUCAAACCGGUACCAAAGAAAAUGGGGCAAAGAACGCCAGCCAGACUAAAUUCUUUUUGGCCAGGGAAAGCUGAGAAAUGCAGACCAGGCACAGCAGUGCCAGGCACAGCAGUGCCAGGCUCUGGGCACAGGCAGUGUGCCUCAUCUGCCUGGAGCACAGCAGAAGUCUACGUGUUUGGGCUUUUUUCCUCCUCUUUUGUGAGAUCUGCAGAGGUAGAUGGAAAUAAACAUUAAAGGAACAAGUAAAUGGAAAUAAAUGUUAAAGGAACAAGUGCUUUCAAGCUGGUAUGACUCCAACCCCCUUGGGCUUUAGGAGAGCAGUGCGGACUUUGUGAGAGGAGGCUGGUGCAGUGGGACUUCCCCCACAGACAGCAGCUGCGUCGCGGCUCUCUGACCUCGCUGUCCUCUUGGGGACCAUCCCCUUGCCAAGAAGGCCCGCCCUCGCUCUUUGGGAGCCUCCUGGGCCUCCCUGCGCGCGGAGCCUUUAUUGGCUUUGUGAGGCUGGCACGAGGCUUUUGGUUCUCCCCCUCUGCCUCUCCUCUUUCUACCCAGCCUGUAGGUACUGCCUGCCAGAAAGGUGCCUUGUGGCAAGCAGAGAAGUGGAGCCUGCAGAGGAGGUGAAUUGGGAGCGUUCUGUCCCCGUGUUUUCCCUGGGUUGACUGUAGAAGGUUUGGGCUAAGAACAAGUUACCACAAGGGGAGGGAAGCCCAAAGUGUUCUUGCAGGAUGUGCGUGCAGAUGUGGACGUGUCCUGGCAACUGGUGUUUCCAGUGAGAGCAAGGCACCGCACUGGAAGCCACCCAGGGAUGAACGGCUCGUGCCGUGCGCUUGGCACUGCCUGGUCAGUGCUCAGCGAGCACAACUGCGUGGUGAAAGCAUCGCCAGCAGCUGCAGCUUAGCGGCAGAGCCAAAGCAUUCUUGCUGCAGCACAGGCAGGUGCUUGCUACCUGCUUCCCAGCUGGCUGGCUUCCUACAGCACAACGGUUAUAGCACAGCCUCUUUCCUCCCCAAACGCGCCCACGUACGAGCAGCUGCGUGCUCGGCCACGUAGCCUUGCCAUCGUGGGCCCCGGCAGCGCUGCAGAGCCGAGCUCCUCAGUGCCAGCGGUGCUGGCACGUGCCUGUGCACACACACGCCUGCGCACGUGCUCUGCCUCACAGGGGCAGGAGCUUGCUGUGCCCUAGGACCUGCAGCCUCGUGUGGAGCUGCCCCACAGCAGAGCGAGAGAAAGGCUCGGCCAGCCUCGGGUCACCCCAGGUGGAAGUGCUGGGUUUGAACCAGUUGGGCGAGGGGGAAAUGCUGCUUUGCAUCUGGCGCCUGCUCAGAAGUCAGUCUGACCUGGCAGGAAGCGUGACAUGUAACAGCUCUAGCAAAGGCAGCGAGCAGCACGUAAGAUGCCCGUGAUCGCAUCAGGAAAAGGCUUGUGAAGGACGGACAGGUGGUGGGGCCCCGUCCCGCAUGGCUCUGCCCCUUGCAGCGGCCUUUCCUUUGCACGCUUGCGCUGUUUGCAAGCGCUGCUGCCUAGCAGCCAGCACUGCCCUGUGGGACUGCUGGACAUACGCAGGCAGGGCUAGGGCACAUACGCAGAGCAGGCGCAGCCAUGCAGGGUGUGCCUGAAGUGGGUCUCACACCUGCACAUCCUCCAGUGCUGCUCUGCACCUAGGGGCCGGGCAAUGGUUUCACUGCUCAGCUUUAACUUUCUACAUGCACCUGGACUCACUGCCACAGAACGCCAUUACUGCAGCACCCCAGGAGGCCGGUAACAUCUCAGCCUCCUCCAGGACUCGUAUUGCCACCACAACCCACCCCACCAACCCCUCUCUUUUCUACAAACCCACCAGCAGUCUGUCGCUACUCCAGCGCAGUCCUGCA